GGGAUAUACACGCUCCCAAGCUAUUUAUCUGUUGGAGCAAGAGAGUUGAUUCCAAGGAUGCUCAUUGUUGAUCCUUUGAAGCGAAUAACUAUUCCUGAGAUUCGCCAACAUUCAUGGUUCCUAGCUCAUCUACCUCGUUAUUUGGCUGUGCCUCCACCAGAUACGAUGCAGCAAGUGAAAAAGAUUGAUGAGGAGAUUCUUCAGAAGGUAAUUAAAAUGGGAUUUGACAUGAACCAACUGGUUGAAUAUCUCCGCAAUAGAAUACAAAAUGAGGCGACAGUAGCAUAUUAUUUGCUACUAGACAAUAGACUCCGUGCUUCAAAUGGCUAUCUUGGUUUUGAGCUUGAAGAAACUAUGGAAAGUAGUUUCUCUAUUACACAUGCAUACAAUGCUAUAACUCCGCCGACUGGACGGCCUGGACAUAUGGAUAGUCAUGGAAACAAUUUGAGGCCACAAGUCCC
rnacentral:misc_RNA from 1 species